UACGUAGGGUGCAAGCGUUGUCCGGAAUUAUUGGGCGUAAAGAGCUCGUAGGCGGUUUGUCGCGUCGAAUGUGAAAACCCGGGGCUCAACCCCGGGCCUGCAUUCGAUACGGGCAGACUAGAGUUCGGUAGGGGGAGUCUGGAAUUCCUGGUGUAGCGGUGAAAUGCGCAGAUAUCAGGAGGAACACCGGUGGCGAAGGCGGGACUCUGGGCCGAUACUGACGCUGAGGCGCGAAAGCGUGGGGGAGCAAACAGG
rnacentral:rRNA from 1 species